rnacentral:rRNA from 1 species
CAGCAGCCACGGGAAUACGAAGGGUGCAAGCGUUACUCGGAAUUACUGGGCGUAAAGCGUGCGUAGGUGGUGGUUUAAGUCCGUUGUGAAAGCCCUGGGCUCAACCUGGGAAUUGCAGUGGAUACUGGGUCACUAGAGUGUGGUAGAGGAUAGUGGAAUUUCCGGUGUAGCAGUGAAAUGCGUAGAGAUCGGAAGGAACAUCUGUGGCGAAGGCGACUAUCUGGGCAGUUCCUGACACUGAGGCACGAAGGCCAGGGGAGCAAACGGGAUUAGAUACCCCAGUAGUCCCUGUCUCUUAUAC